AUACGUAGGGGGCGAGCGUUGUCCGGAAUGAUUGGGCGUAAAGGGCGCGUAGGCGGCCCGGUAAGUCUGGAGUGAAAGUCCUGUUUUUAAGAUGGGAAUUGCUUUGGAUACUGUCGGGCUUGAGUGCAGGAGAGGUAAGUGGAAUUCCCAGUGUAGCGGUGAAAUGCGUAGAGAUUGGGAGGAACACCAGUGGCGAAGGCGACUUACUGGACUGUAACUUACGCUGAGGCGCGAAAGUGUGGGGAGCAAACAGGAUUAGAUACCCUGGUAGUCCACACUGUAAACGAUGAAUGCUAGGUGUAGGGGGUAUCGACCCCUUCUGUGCCGCAGUCAACACAAUAAGCAUUCCGCCUGGGGAGUACGGCCGCAAGGUUGAAACUCAAAGGAAUUGACGGGG
rnacentral:rRNA from 1 species